GAACCAGCCAUGCCGCGUGCAGGAUGACGGCCCUAUGGGUUGUAAACUGCUUUUGUACCAGAGAAAACCCUUCCACGUGUGGGAGGUUGAUAGUAUGGUAAGAAUAAGCAUCGGCUAACUUCGUGCCAGCAGCCGCGGUAAGACGAAGGAUGCAAGCGUUAUCCGGAUUCAUUGGGUUUAAAGGGUGCGUAGGCGGACCUGUAAGUCAGUGGUGAAAUCUCUUUGCUUAACAAAGAAACUGCCAUUGAUACUGCAGGUCUAGAGUAUAGAUGACGUUGGCGGAAUAUGACAUGUAGUGGUGAAAUACUUAGAUAUGUCAUAGAACACCGAUUGCGAAGGCAGCUAACGAAACUAUAACUGACGCUGAGGCACGAAAGUGCGGGGAUCAAACAGGAUUAGAUACCCUGGUAGUCCGCACCGUAAACGAUGAUUACUCGUUGUUGGCAAUAUGACCGUCAGCGACCAAGCGAAAGCGAUAAGUAAUCCACCUGGGGAGUACGCCGGCAACGGUGAAACUCAAAGGAAUUGACGGGGGCCCGCACAAGCGGAGGAGCAUGUGGUUUAAUUCGAUGAUACGCGAGGAACCUUACCUGGGCUUGAAAGUUAGCGACCGGUCCUGAAAGGGAUCUUCCAGCAAUGGCGCGAAACUAGGUGCUGCAUGGCUGUCGUCAGCUCGUGCCGUGAGGUGUUGGGUUAAGUCCCGCAACGAGCGCAACCCCUAUUGUUAGUUACCAGCGAGUAAUGUCGGGAACUCUAACGAAACUGCCCGUGCAAACGGUGAGGAAGGUGGGGACGACGUCAAGUCAUCACGGCCCUUACGUCCAGGGCUACACACGUGCUACAAUGGUCGGUACAACGGGCAGCUACACAGCGAUGUGAUGCUAAUCUCUAAAAACCUAUCUCAGUUCGGAUUGGAGUCUGCAACUCGACUCCAUGAAGCUGGAUUCGCUAGUAAUCGCGCAUCAGCAAUGGCGCGGUGAAUACGUUCCCGGGCCUUGUACACACCGCCCGUCAAACAAUGGAAGUUGAGGGUAUCUAAAGUCAGUAGCUGCAAGGCGCUGCCUAGGGUAAACUUGAUAACUGGUGUUAAGUCGUAACAAGGUAGCCGUACCGGAAGGUGCGGCUG
rnacentral:rRNA from 1 species